CUAUAUCGACUCGCUUUUUGGGCUGGAGCCCGCCGAGCGAGGUCGGUUGGGAGAGGAAGAGCUCGUUACACUGUGCUCGGAAAUCAUCAACGCCGGAACCGAUACCAGUGCAACCACGGUUGAGUGGGCUCUGCUUCACUUGGUGAUGAACCAGGACAUUCAGCAAAAGCUUUACAAAGAGAUAAUCGACUGUGUAGGAAAAAAUGGAGUUGUCACGGAAGGAGACGUAGAGAAAAUGCCCUACCUCGGUGCAAUCGUGAAGGAAACUUUCCGGCGCCACCCGCCCAGUCAUUUCGUUCUAUCCCAUGCAGCCACCAAGGACACAGAGCUCGGCGGCUACACAAUUCCAGCUGACGUGAACGUGGAGUUCUAC
rnacentral:lncRNA from 1 species